GUCCGCCAAAAUACUACGAGUGAAAACUUAAAACUUAAAGGACUUGACGGUGCCCCACAUUCAACCUAGAGGAGCCUGUCUACUAACCGAUAAUCCACGAUUAAUCUUACCAUUUCUUGCCAUACAGUCUAUAUACCGCCGUCGCCAGCCUACCUUGUGAAAGCUAUACAGUGAGCUAAAUAGCCCCCGCUAAAACGACAGGUCGAGGUGUAACUAAUGAAAUGGCAUAAGAUGGGCUACAUUACCUACUUAAGGUACACGAACAAAACUAUGAAACUAGUCUUCAAAGAUGGAUUUAGCAGUAAGUUAGGAAUAAAAUGCCAAACUGAACACAACGCAAUGGGGUGCGUACACACCGCCCGUCAUCCCUAUCAAAACUAAAAUUGCCAUAAAUAAUAAAACAUUAAUAAAAGAUAGGGCAAGUCGUAACAUGGUAAGCGUACUGGAAAGUGCGCUUAGAAA
rnacentral:rRNA from 1 species